CUCUUCAAGAAUGACCAAAAUUUUUUCUGUUUCUCAGUGUAACUGAGACUAAUGAUGUCAUUCAUAUACUCUUUAUGUGCUUUUCUUAUUAUGGCACCCUCAACGGAGUUGGGGUGACAUAUUGUUAUUGUUCGUUUCUUUUUUUCAUAUUAUUAUGGCACCCUAAACGGAGUUUGGGUGACAUAUUGUUAUUCUACGUUUCUUUUUGUUUUUUUUAUCUUUAUUAUUUUUCUUCCACACUUUUUUGUCCAGUCUGGAACUCUAAUAUAAAUGGACCAAAGAAGAUGGAACUAUACCAUAAUGUUAACCACCAUGUGAAGAUUUGCUUUUUGGGGUUGGCACUUUCAAGAUGUCCGCCGUUACCAUGGAAACGGAACAACUGUGAAAAAAUCCACUUUUUGGUUUUGGGGAAUAAUUUGGAGAUGC
rnacentral:lncRNA from 1 species